rnacentral:sRNA from 1 species
CGCCUUCAGACGGCAGAGCUCCACGUCCUCCGUGCGGCAAAGGAUUAGUUU